UGGUGGAGUGAUUUGUCUGGUUAAUUCCGUUAACGAACGAGACCUCGACCUGCUAAAUAGUUUGGCCAAUUCUUCGGGAUUGGUCUAAACUUCUUAGAGGGACUAUCGGUGAUUUAGCCGACGGAAGUUCGAGGCAAUAACA
rnacentral:rRNA from 1 species